CAGACUUAAUGCUUUGUCCCUGUUCAGAGGUAAAGCUACACUGAAGAGACACAACCACAGGCCCAGGUCAAGCACACUGAGGCAAAUGUUCAGCAGAUGCUCCUGGAGAGAAGAAGGUGAAGGAGAUCAAACAAUCAGUGGAGCUCAGCAGAGUGAGUUCUCAUACGAGUGCUAAUAAAAAGUUCAUGGACAGUACCCAGAUAUCCAGUGCUUUAAUAAAGUCCAUUUC
rnacentral:lncRNA from 1 species